UACGAAGGGGGCUAGCGUUGCUCGGAAUUACUGGGCGUAAAGGGCGCGUAGGCGGCGGCCCAAGUCAGGCGUGAAAUUCCUGGGCUCAACCUGGGGACUGCGCUUGAUACUGGGUUGCUUGAGGAUGGAAGAGGCUCGUGGAAUUCCCAGUGUAGAGGUGAAAUUCGUAGAUAUUGGGAAGAACACCGGUGGCGAAGGCGGCGAGCUGGUCCAUUACUGACGCUGAGGCGCGACAGCGUGGGGAGCAAAC
rnacentral:rRNA from 1 species